AGUUUCUUUCUUUGUGUUUGCCCACAUCUAGUGGGGAAACCUGCCUCUCUGUAAACUCAAAACCCUCCUUUCUUCUCAAUCGCUGGUUGGCUUUCAGUCGAGGUUCGAUGCUUCUGUUUUCCAAUCCCUUAGGUUAUGAUCCCCUCCAUAGAUUCUAAAGAAGAAGACUUUAUUGCAGAGGGCACUGCUCUGAAGAGGAUGACAAUUGGAAACCCACACGGAGGUGAAUAUGUUGAUCUCUCUCUGAGUGUCUUUCCAGCCUUACUGCACAGGAGAUUCUUGCAGGAGGCCUAAAAGUUUAUCCCAGUCGUCUUCUUCUGUUGAUUCUUCUUUUCAUCUUGGCUGCCUCUGUUGUCAAAACUGAUCAAGGUGAAGGUAUCAGUAAGGGAUAAUUAUAUGAUAUGGAGGAUGAGGUGCCAGAAGACAAUGUCUAAACUUACAGAUGUUACUUCAUAACAGUCAAAAUGGGGAAGCACAAGUUGUUGAAGGUGACGCCAAGCGAUCAGGUAGCGUUCUUCUUUCCCAGUUAAAAAUACUAAAUUUUAAGUUUUUUGAUGAUGUACAUUGGCAUUUUGAUUCAGAUCCAAGUGCUAUGAAGCGAGGUCGCACUAGAGGCCUAAGAUAGCAUCGGUGCCCCAUGGUCAGUGCAAAAAAGUGGAGUUCAAUGAUCAAGGACGGUGCUGUAGUAAGGAAGCAUCAGAGGUACUGACUUGGAUGGGCAUCAUUGUUAGGAAUUCUGUGGUCUUGUCAUGUAAUUAUUCAGAUUGGAGGAAUGUACCAAGCAUUUACAAGGAAAAUGUUUGGCAUGAAAUGAAGGUUUUGAUGAUACUAUAUAUAGCCAAGUAUCAUUUCUUUCAAAAUCUCAUUUGCUUGCCUUCUUAGAAUGGACAAGACCCAAAAACAGGAUAUUGGCUUGUAUGGCAUUUAUUUCUUUUACAAGUCGAUUAUUGAUGUGAUUAGAACUAAGAAAUUAUGAUGCAAGAGAACUUGACACUAGGUA